UAAUCUUAACGAUGGAUGUUUUGGUUUUUACUGCAAUCAUGAAAAAAGCAAAAUACCAUAACCAAUGACAAUUGAAAUACCUUUAAAUCAUUAGAAUUUUGAACGUAAACUACAACACUUGUGUUCUUGCAUUGUGGUACUCUCCUUCAUAGUAA
rnacentral:rRNA from 1 species